UACGGGGGGGGUAAGCGUUGUUCGGAAUUACUGGGCGUAAAGGGCUCGUAGGCGGCCAACUAAGUCGGACGUGAAAUCCCUCAGCUUAACUGGGGAACUGCGUCCGAUACUGGAUGGCUUGGAUUUGGGAGAGGGAUGCGGAAUUCCAGGUGUAGCGGUGAAAUGCGUAGAUAUCGGAAGGAACACCAGUGGCGAAGGCGGCUACCUGGACGGUAACUGACGCUGAGACGCGAAAGCGUGGGGAGCAAACAGG
rnacentral:rRNA from 1 species